rnacentral:lncRNA from 1 species
CCCUGCAGAGCAGCUCCCAGAAAAGAGCAGACCACCUGAUAAGCAGAGCAAGCAAAUAUGAGUCCAAGGUAACGAAUUGUAUUACUUUGAGAUCUCAGUGUUGAAUAGCAUUCAUUUCUAGAUGUCUCAAAAAUAAAAGUUGAUUAUUAUCAGGGCAAAAAGACGACUGCCAGGACAACCACAACUCUAAGGGACCUCCUGUAGUCAGUAAAUUGUUAUUGCCUUAUUACUGGUAGCGGCUUGCACCUUUGCAAGUGCUUAGAGAUGACUAUUGUAUUGAUAUUUCUCGUGUAAAGUGGCCAGCCAUUAUAGACAUGGAGAUUCACAUACUGGUACAGUAAUAUUAUCCAUGUCAGGGUCAUCUUUGCACCAUAGUUUCAAGUUAUUUUGUUAUAACCAUCAGAUUGUUCAGCUUGACAGUACCAUCAAGCAAGCACCUAAGAACAGAGCAUUUGGCCUCUGAAAAAGGAAAAAGAAAAAGAAUACAUGAUUCAUCUCACCCAAAAAAGAUCAUGCAUAUUUCUCAUUAAGGUAAUAUAGUAGACGGACAUAACAACUCAAGGGAACCAUGAAAUAAUGUUACUCAAAUUUACUUGGGCAAUAUUAUGACAAGUAAAAAGCACACUGUUGGUCCCUUAAUGCUUAUCCUGUACAAUUCAAAAUAUAUUGUCUGAAAAGAAGAGUUAAAGAUUACUAUACAUUGAACAUUUUGGCGAAAAUAGCAAGGCUAAUAAGCAUAAACGAUGCCAGAAAAAUGAUGUGAACAACACCAAGCUUUCCUAGAAAACUUAACCCUAUUGUGCAACAAAUAUGGUGUAUCAUUGUUCCUUAUGAUACAUAAAAAAGUCAACAACAUGCUCCUGCAAUCGAAAUGUAUGUAUGACAAAGUGCAUAAAAUAGACACUAUUUAAAAGAAUGGCAGUAAACAAAACCAAAGAAGCAAGUUUAUUAAGUGGCAAAUUUCAGCAGUGUAAAGAACUAUUGAAUUGUCAUAGAAGUAAACAUAAGACCAUGUCACCAUGAUGGCCCAAGGGUAAACUAAGACCCAAAAAUCUUUGGCGCUAUUGUGAUUCUUUUCCAAAAAGAGCUAAUUAGUACAGCUAACCCAUCAUGUCAUGAACAACAUGUGAACUGGUUUGAGCAGUAUUAUCAAGUGGAUAAAACAUCAAUUGAUGUACAUGAAGAUCUUUGGAACACAUCAACCAUGGUAAGUAACCACUGCCUUGAAUCUGACAAAAAAAAGAUCCCAAAUAGUUUCUACAUAUGGAGUUAGGGUUUAGGGUUUUUGCCUCAUAUAGUUUCUACUUUGGCCUUUCUUCUAUCUUAAUGCAAUGAUACGCAGUUCUCCUGCAUAUUCGAGAAAAAUGAACUUUCAUACAAGCGGCUCACAUGAAGCAUGCCACUUAUAUGGAAACAUACAAAGAACAUGGAAAUGGAAUGUAACAGCACAAUCUCAUUAUAUUACCACUCACAAUUGUGUACAUCCAUAUAAGCAUUAAGUCACAUGGAUGUUAUUAAAUCUAAUAUAUCACAUAACCCACAAUUGGAAAAACUUUGACCAAUUUGCUUCUCUUCAACAAAACACAGGACAUAGACUUCAUACUAAAAUUUGUGACAAGUAUGACCAGGCACAUGGUAUCCUUUCAAUUUUCUUGUGCUAAUACAAUUAGAUUUGUUACAGGAAAAUAGGUAAGUGGUGGAUUGAAGCUUAUCCAUGGUUUAGUAUUAGUCUAGUUGUUUUCUAUAGCUGCUGCUAACCUCAUGAGGAAGUUUUCAGGUUAGUAGGAUACCAUGUACUUCAUACUGAAUGUACAUGGUUGUCUACAUAACUACAUUGGUAUAUUUCUUCACUAUAUAUUAUAAACAUAGUUAGCUGUGUAACAUGUGCUUCGCUAAAAGUGGGGUGGAGCUCAAAUUAUUAUUUUCUGCAUGCCUACAUUAAUGAAUAUAGGGUAUUACUAUAUGUAGAGGCUCGUCCAAUUGGUUUAGUAUGCCUUAGAUCUUGUAGAUGCACAAUUCUUUUUGGCCUCAAAAAUUCCUGUGCUUGUAGAGACCCUUGCUGCAUUUGAAACAGUGACGACUUUCCCAAUCAC